rnacentral:lncRNA from 1 species
CUGCCAAGGCCUGAGUGCUGAGAAGGCUGUCUCCAUUUCUCCUCGCCUCCAUUCAGUAAGCGGUGGCUCAUCCCCUAAUGCAAUAAGCCUGGACCACAAAAUCUAAAGAAUAGGAGUGAUCACCAAGCCCCCUUGUCACCUCCUUUCCGGGAGACUGAAGCUGAUGGCAGAUGAUGGCAGCACCCUGGACCCAGAGCUUCCAGCUUGGCUGUGCUAGGGAGUGAGUGAGGAUGUGAGGUCUCCCUCACGGCCUGUCCACCCUGGGCAGGCAGAUUCUUUACCACUUUACCGCUAGUGCCACCCGGGAAGCCCCUCUGAGACUUAAAUGUGCACAUAAAUAUAGAAAAUACACAUCU